GAUGAACGCUGGCGGCGUGCCUAAUACAUGCAAGUCGAGCGAACAGACGAGGAGCUUGCUCCUCUUACGUUAGCGGCGGACGGGUGAGUAACACGUGGAUAACCUACCUAUAAGACUGGGAUAACUUCGGGAAACCGGAGCUAAUACCGGAUAAUAUAUUGAACCGCAUGGUUCAAUAGUGAAAGACGGUUUUGCUGUCACUUAUAGAUUGAUCCGCGCCGCAUUAGCUAGUUGGUAAGGUAACGGCUUACCAAGGCAACGAUGCGUAGCCGACCUGAGAGGGUGAUCGGCCACACUGGAACUGAGACACGGUCCAGACUCCUACGGGAGGCAGCAGUAGGGAAUCUUCCGCAAUGGGCGAAAGCCUGACGGAGCAACGCCGCGUGAGUGAUGAAGGUCUUCGGAGCGUAAAACUCUGUUAUUAGGGAAGAACAAAUGUGUAAGUAACUAUGCACGUCGUGACGGUACCUAAUCAGAAAGCCACGGCUAACUACGUG
rnacentral:rRNA from 1 species